rnacentral:ncRNA from 1 species
UUUUUUUGUUCUAAAUUUUUAUUUACUUAUUAAUUUAAUGUAAGUUUUAGCGUUAAUAUAUGAAUUUUUAUAAAUAAAAAAUUUUAUUAUUUUAAAGUUUGUUACAGUAAUGAGUUUUUUAUAUUUAAAAUUUUAAGAUUAAGAUAUAGGUAUUUAGUAUAAACUAAGUUUGUGCCAGCAGUUGCGGUUAUACAGAUUAUGCAAUGAAAAUAUUUUGGAUUAAGUUAAAUAAAAUUAAAUAAUUUAAAUUUUAUAGUAAAAUAUAUAGGGUGAAAUUUUAUUUUUAUUAAAUUUUAAAUUAUUUAAGAAUUGAGGCUUGAAAAUUUUAUUUUAAACUAGGAUUAGAUACCCUAUUAUAAAAAUGUAAAUUAAUUAUCUAAAUUAGUAAUAGAUUAAAUUUUUAUUUUGUUAAAUAAAUAUUCUUGAAAAUUAAGAAGAAUGGCGGUAUUUUAGUCUUUUCAGAGGAACCUGUCCUGUAAUCGAUAGUCCACGAUUUUUAUUACUUUUUUUUUAAAUUUAUAUAUCGCUGUGAUGGAAUAUUUUUUUUGAGGGUUGAAUAUUCAUAAUUUUUAUAGAUAAUAAUUCAGGUCAAGAUGUAGUUUAUAAAAAAGAAGAGAUGGGUUACAAUAAUAAAAGUUUUAGAAAAAUUUUUUAAAAAAAUUUUGAAAUUGGAUUUGAAGGUAAUUUUAUAUAUUAAUAUAAAUUGAUUUAAGCUCUAAAAUGUGCACAUAUCGCCCGUCACUUUCACUUUAAAGUGAAAUAAGUCGUAACAUAGUAGAUGUACUGGAAAGUGUCUCUAGAAGA